AAACACUUGAAGUCAGUCGCGUCGUUCAGAACUCAGCCUGGCCUUGGCUUGGUGCAUUUUCUGAAUGACGGGCCAGCAUCAAUUUUGACUGUUGGAUAAAGGUCAGAGAAAUGUGGCUCCUUUGGGAGUGUUAUAGUCUCUGAUUGCAUACAAUGGUUGGGAUUGAGGAACUCAGCAUGCCUUUAUGGUCGGGGUUCGCCCACGUUCAUGCUUAGGAUGCUGGCGUAAUGGCUUUAAAUGA
rnacentral:rRNA from 1 species